AGCAGGUAGAGCAAUAGUCAGUCGCAGCUUUUUACCAUUUGCUCCGCUAUGCCUUCUUGAUGACAGAUAUUUUGUUAAAAAUAAUGAAAAUGGUAUUGCUUAAGACUGUUCAGGUUUUUUUUUUUUUUAGAAUCUCAAAUUUUAAAAAGAGAAAAGACUCAAAUUAAAAAUAUAUUAGAAAUAUGCACAAACAUGAAGAGUUCUAUAAAAGAGGGUAGAAUUGAUGGGGCUGGUGUGCUGGUAGCAUAUUUACAGUCUGUAAUAGAAAUGAUAUGUUAAAUAAUUCACUCAAUGUUUGUAAAAUGACUGGCAGGUGUAUCUCUGCUUAGGUUGUGGAAUCUAUCAUUAUCUAUCCAUUUAUCUAUCACCUAUACAUCUGUGUCAUCUAUUUAUCUGUAUAUUUAUCUGCCAUCUAUAUACCUGUAUCAACUAUUCAUCUGUAUAUUUACCUGUUACCUAUAUACCUGUAUCAUCUAUUUGUCUGUAUAUUUACCCAUCAUCUAUAUAUUUGUACAGUGAAAAACUGGGGGCUCUUGAGUUCCUUGGGAAUGAAUGACCAGCUCUGGGAACGGCCAUUUUUCUGUUUCGAGCAAAUAUUUUAUAGAAAAAUAUAUAUAUUAGUAUUUAAGAUGGCAAGCAAUAAUGAAUAAAGUGUAAAAACACCCAGGAACAUUUAGAUGGGAGUUGGGGGAUAUUUAAAAAUCAUAUGCAAAAUUCAAGCCAAGAUAGAGACUCUGAGAUGAAACAAUUUUUUUCUUUGAAGCUAUUCAGUUUAAUUUUUUCCUAAAAAUUGCCUCUAUGUUCAUCUGCGCAGUAAGAGUGCAUGAGAAGAAACGCUUCUGCCUCUUCCUGUUCAUUGAGGGUCGUUUUUACUCUGGAGCCCAUUGGGAGAAGGUGAAACUUGUUUGAUCUUGGAAAUGUCUAAUUUCUCAUAUUCAACUGUCCUCCUAGAUUACAUUGGAAAAAUAAUUAUUGUUGCCUAUAGUUACAUUCAAGUUAGGAAUCUGCAAAUUUUUUUAUUUUUAUUUUACUUUUAGUUAUUUUUGUAUACCUGGGGGGGGUUAUGUACCCAUGAGUCCUGGUGCCCGCAGAGGCCAGAAGAGAGUGACAGGUCCCUGGAAUUGGAGUUACAGACAGAUGUGAACCACUUGCUAUGGGUGUUGGAGCCUGAGAUCAGGUCCUUUGUUAGAGAAACACAUCUUCUAUGCUAAGCCAUCUUUUCAGCAGUGGUUGUCAGUUUAUAAGCACAGAAAGAGCCAAGCCACCGGGGCAUGACUUUGUUUACUAAUUUUGUCACUGACAUUCCUGGUAGAUACCAUCUUGAGGUCUAUUUUUAGUACAGAGUAUGUGAUUUAUUCAUUUAUUUCUCCGUUCGCUGCUUUGAACAUCCAGCUAACUUUGCUCCACUAGAUUUCCUGAUCCUAAGUGGAAUUCUGUUUUAUCCAUGCACAUUUUAAACACAAGAUAGGUUAUAAUUACUGGUAGUCAACAUGACAUUUCAACACAUCUAAUUUCAGAUCUAAGUAAAGAUGAACAUUAUCUAACUUAACACUUUAUUAUAACACUAUUGGUCCGUAAAUGUGUUAGACUUCCUAUUGCUUUGCCAGCAGCCAGCAGUGGUCUGGGACUAGGGAUCUUGGAAGCUUUUCCAGUUACGAGUGACUUACUCUGUCCUAUAAAAUUCCAGUCAGAAGUCCAUUUGGAUCAACAAUUUUCCUUGCAAUGUCAAUGGGGGUUGCUCAAUCAGCGUUUCAUACUUCAAUGCAUGAAAUAUUGCAUUAAUGGAAAUAGUAAUAUCCAUUUGCUCCUAGUACCACACUGAGCUCAGUCACGGUACUGCAGGGACAUAUAUAACGUAGGUAAGCAGCGUUCCGGGGAGCAUCCUGAAUAACAGCAGGAUUUCAGUGGAGAAAGCCAGAGGGCAGCGGAGGCAGGGAGGAGCAUGCCUUUCUUCGUAACUCAGUGAUGGCUUCCUCCCUUUCUCCCUAGUGGCGGACUUUCCUCAGUUCUGAUAAGCAGUACUUCUCAAUCCACUGUGUUUGGAUUAGGACUCAAUGGGUCUAGGGUACCAUCCAAGGUUUCUGAAAAGUUUCCAGAGGAUGCCAUUUCUGCUGUUCCAAGAACCACACAUUGAGGAUCAAGGCUAUAAAAUAUCAGUGUGGUCCUGAAUAGAGUCUGAGAGUUAGUGUGGUCUGAUGAAUGCUGGUCCAAGCCCAACGUUUAGUUUAGUUUAGCUGGCCCCAUCCUUUCUUCCUACUCUACCAAUAGGAGGAGCCAGCAAUGAUUGCGCGCCUCACAGAGGGAAGCGGGGUCCAAUCAGUUAAGCUCAAGAGUGCAGUAAGCCCUCUGCUCGUCCCUCUUCUGUGGUGUUUUGUCUGCUCUUAUAGAUCGAGUUCCUUGUGAGGGAGGCAGGCGGUAAAAGGCACAGGAGAUUCCAGCCACAUACCAAUCCCAGCAUCCUCUCCUUCACCACCAUACACUUAGCCAUGCUUUGAAAUGUUCUGCGGUGCCUUAAAGGGUGAGGCUUCCCACCAGAACGUCCAUUCAUCCUGGCCACGCUCCUCCGUUGACAGCCCUGGGGCAUAUUUUUCUUUCGGUGAUAGGUGAUACAAGAAAGGGCAUCAUCCACUGACAUCCACCCCUUUCAGAUCGUGCAGAAGUUUGCAUCUCCACUGAGUUUGCCUUCUUUCUCAAUCACCAAGAAUUCUAAACCAGUUUCUACCCUUGAUGCCAUAGCUAGCAAAUGUUGCCAAGGCAGAAUUCUUUCUUAAGGCUGGACCGGGCCUUCAUGGGAUGUUUAUUUUGUGAAAUACUACAGAGCUGUUUAUUUGAGAACUAAGUUCUGGAUAAUGGUCUUCCGUGCCCCACACUCUAGUGUUCAGAGAGCACUGCUCACUGGGUGUCUCUGCAGCAUUCCCAUGGCCUGCUCUUCGGUGGCCCUUUCCAGUGUACUUGACUAUUUAUGUGCCCUCCCUCCUCCUUCCUUCCUCCUCCCCUCCUCUUUCCCUUCCUCCCUCUCUCCACAUUUCAAUCAGAUUCUUUUCUAUACUGCAGAAAAGCUCAGUCACUUGUUCACAAUGGUCCUGUCCCUCCUCUAUCAAGAGCAUCAGAUCAUUUCACUUGGCACCCAACCAUGUUAAUGAAAUAUUUUACGUAUUUUUCUUAUCCACUGCAUUAUAAGCUGCUAUUGAACAAAAACAUUUUGUUGCACAUUUUUCUGUCUGGAAUGACUUGCCUUAGUAUCUGUAGCAUAUUUCAUUAAAAAUAAAUGUCGGAUGGAUGGCUACAUUUAUUGAUCAGCUUGGGUUUCCUUAUUGGUUCUCCAUGAUUUAUUUUGUUUCUGUUUUUGACAGUUUUAUACACACAUAUAAAUGCUCAAUGGCCUAUGUUUUUUUCUGUGCCCUGUUACCACCCACUAUUCUUUUCCCUCCUUCCCCACUAGCCACCCAUGGCUAUGAUACCAGGACAUGACAGCCCCUCUUAUAGCCACCAUUAAGCCAACAGCUCUCCAGGAAGGGUGGAGCCCCAUGUUCACCUUCUGUAUCAGUGAUGGAACGAAGACGGUCCCCAGUCCUGUACAGGUGUCCACUUUUGUUGUGUGCUCACAAUGGCCACAGCACUAGAAUCACAACAUUCCUUGCUACUCCUCCUCUGCCUCUCACUUCUACAUCCUUUUUUAUCCUUCUUUCAUGAUAUCCACUAGGCCUUGUGUGUGUGUGUGUGUGUGGUGAGGGGGAGGUGGUGACAGAGAUGUCCUGUUUAGUAUGAAGAACUCCACAGUCACUUAGACCAGACACGGAUGCCUUCAUUAUAUCCAUCCUUUUAAAAGAAGCUUUUCUUGUCCCAGGGUUACAGCAGCAUGAGUCUAUAGUCAUACACAUCGAGAUUUAAAAGAAUUUAUGUCCGUUUAGGGUGCAGCAGUGUGUGUUUCCCUAUUCAGCCCAUAACCCACUACAUGAUUUCUAAUUUAGACUUAUCCCAUGUAACUUGUGUUCUGCUUUGAUUUAUCAACAGUCUUGGCAAAACCUAUGAGCCCUUUGGUGGUAUCUUACAUGAGUUAUCUGUAAUCCACAGAUACGGUAUACAGGUUUACUCUCUGUCCGUGAAUGCUGACUCUGUAGGCACAAGUCGUUUUACUGACUACUUUAUAAAUGUCACCAUCAGGAUGUAGAAGUAAUUUGACAGAUUUGCCACCUGGGGACCAUAGAAGCUUUCCCCAUUGUUUGCUGUAUUUAUACUUUGUGUGAUGGAAAGAUCUUUUCUGUUACACCUGAUGCAUGAAAUGUCUGUCCCUGACAUUUAAGUAGCCCCUGCAGUGACGUGCUCCCUUCUGUCCCUUUUGCUUUUAUAGGACCAGUGUGGCUGUUCAGGCAGUUAGCCCAACUCAUUGAUCUCCUGCCGGUUAUGGGUUAACAGUCACACAAGACUCUACAUUUAGUAACUGUUGGUGGUACUAAUGGAACUGUUUAUAAUAUAACUGGGUGCAUUUUCUGUAUUUGAAACUAUUAUGUCAGAUGGGUGGUUCAAGCAGCAAAGGAAGGUGACUACAUCUGGUGUCAAAAACCAUAAAGUGCUGGAUUGCGGUCAUGGCUACUGAGUCUGAAGUAACCAUGGGUUCACCGAAGUGUUACCCUGGAGACAUGGGUGGUGGCCUAGGCCUCCAGGGCCCCUGGUUAACAAGGAGUUUGAGUGCUUCACAACUGGAGGGCGGGCCUCGUGCAGAAUCCUGGACUUGAGAGUGUACAGUGGGGUCUCAAGUCAUGCAGAAACACUAGACAGCAGUAAUCCAGCCCAGGGCGUUCAGGGCAUAAGUACAGUACACAUGCUCCAGGGGGCAGGAGUCUGGAAAAGGUCUAGUGACAGACCCAAAAGGAAGUCUAUGCGACAAUUUAUAUAUCUGUUACUCAACUUGCCUAUGGAAAAUAUGGCCACUUUAAAAAAAAAAAAUCACUUCUCCCGUGUGCCUGACACUUGGUCUGUGGUUUGCUCUUGCUGAGUGAGUCAUUCUGUGACAUCAGCUAAUUUCUCUUCAGGACUCUGACUCUGACUGAGAUUCAUAAGAAAGAGCCCUUGGUCACUCCACCAAUCCAGACAGGAGCAGGUGUCCCUGAUCCCAGCCUUCUGCUAUGGAGGAAGUUGUCACUAACCACGUGGGCCUCAAUAGUCUUUUUCUGACCCAGCCUAUUUCAGGAUAGAGUUACAUACUUCCCAAUAGCCUGAGGCUGUAGCUAGUUCUCUUUCUAGCAAAUAUUUGGGCGCUUGACGCAUUUCAGACACUGUGCCAAGAUCAGGGAUGGAUAUCAGGUGAGCAAAGUCGGGGCGUGAUCUGUAGCUUUAGAAUGGCUCUCGUCUGUACAGCAUGCUACCAUUGCAGUAGGUAGGUGUGUGUGUGUGUGUGUGUGUGUGUGUGUGUGUGUGAGUGUGUGUGUGUGUGUGUGUGUGUGUGUGUGUGUUGUAGGGCUAAUCCUUACUUGACUUUCAGAAGCAGCUUUUAUUGGGUUCUACACUCACAAAACCCACUCAGGAAAGACUUGCAGUGAAUUGGAGCGUUCUUUAUCAUAAAGAUAUGAUGAAAUAUCAACUAUCGAUCAGAUGUGUGUGCUGCUCUUUUUCUCAGGAUGAAUUUCAUUCCAAUGUUUUCACCUCCUUUGCUCGUCGCUCACUGCCUUGAGUUAACUAUUUUUACUUGUGAAAAUAUAGAUAAUAAAUUUGACUGACAUUUUCUCUUUAUUUUUUUUCUUUAUUGCCUCAUCGUGUUUCAUUUGCCCUUUUCUUCUCUCGGCUUACAAUUUCAUAUUACUGUCUGGGGAGAUAACAGCUCUGCCUUCAAAUGUUAUCGUUCUCUGUUCCCCAUUCAGUCUCACUUGGAGCAACGUGACAAUAUAAUCUUGGCAUGUUUCUACAUAAAAUGAGUAGAGAGGGACACAUCAGAUGUGGUUAAAGGUCCCUCUCAUCCAAACAUUGGGAAUCCACCCGCUAAUUUACAAUUAACCUUUCUUCAAGAGGAACUUAGAAGUGCUAGAGUUGUUCUUCUGUGGCUUUCUAACUUUCUGACUAACUUCCUAUGGUUAUAUAUUCUGUGUCUAGAGAUGUUGAUGGAAUUCUAGUAUCCACACUGGGCAGCAGGGCUGCUUCUGGAAACUCCAUAGCAAAGCCUUGAUUAACAAGUCCAAGGUCAGUUUCUUACUAGAACUUGGUUCUUGGCUUUCCUUCUCUUCCUUCCACCCUCGUUUACCUUCUACCUUCCAUUUCUCUCUCUCUCUCUCUCUCUCUCUCUCUCUCUCUCUCUCUCUCUCUCUCUGUCUCACCCCCUGCCCUUUUUCCUUCCCUCCUCCUUCCUUAUCCCCCUCCCCCUAGGAAACUAAUUCAUCUGCAUGAUUCGUCUCCCGCUUUGUCCGGAGGCAGAGCCAAUCUGUGCCAGUAGAGUAUGGUAGUGUUUCUCUAAAGGCACACAGAAGGAAGCAGAGAUCUAGGGCUAGAACUAAGAGCCUUGUAGCCUAUCCCCGUCACCCACCCCAGCGAGCCACACGACAUCUGAGGAUCAAGUGUUCAAACAUGGUCCUGUGGGAGACACUUCAAACAGGAGGUAUAGCACAAAAUUGCCUAACCAGCAAGAAAACAACUCCGGGGUUGAGCUAUUUUCUGUGUGUGUGUGUGUGUGUGUGUGUGUGUGUGUGUGUGUGUGUGGCCAGAAGUUGAAACUCCGCCAUUUCUAAAAGGAAAAACAAACAAAACAAAACAAAACAACUUCUUUGUAAGAAAAGCUGAACUGGAAACGCUUUCAGUAAAAAUGCAAAUAGAGCAGGACUGUUAACUUCACAGGAUCAGCCUUUUCAUGGAAGGAAGUCUUUAUGAGGUUCCAGUAGUAAAGCUUGGAAGCCUGUAUAAAUCACAGUAGCAGCAUGAUGGGAGAAUAAUGCAGGAGCAGAAACAUAACCUACCCGCAGCACAAUGCAGGGGAGAGAAAGUACAGUGGUCUAUAACUUUACACGAGGUUUCUGAUUUAUCGAAAGAGGAUUGUUUUCUAAGACUGGCAGGGAGAAUGAUUCCCCAGAACAGAAGUGACCCAAGCAAAGACAAGCACGAGGGCAGAGCUAGCUAUUUCCUGAAGAUAUGAAGCCAUGAUGGCCUAGAAACUUGAAGAACAUUCACGUGACUCUAAUGGUGUUGCUCAGCUGCAGCAACCGAGCAUGUGGCUGCAGAGUAUGUGAAAUGUGGGCAGUCCAAAUUGACAUGUGUUACGUGCGGAUACAUACCAGAGUCCGAGUCUUAGUAUGUCUUGAAAUGUAAAACAUCUUAUUAGCUUCUAGAUUAAUUUCAUGGUAAAAUGAAAGGUUUUUUUAAUAUAAUCGGUUGAAUUAAUUAUGGAAUUUGAUUAACUUGGUUUUUUAAAUGUAAAUACAAAACCUUUUAUAUUUAGAAAAAAACAUUUUCUAAUAUUUUUGGCUCUGUACGUGUCAGUUUCUUCUAGUGUCCAGGAACCCCAGCAGAGGGCAUCAGAUCUCCCAGACAUGGAGUUAAAGGUGGCUGUGAACUGCACAAGACAAAUGCUCAGAACUCUAAAAGAGCAGGAAACACUUAUAACCCAUCAGCCAUCUUUCCAGGCCCCCAAACUUUUAACUAUGUAUGAGACUCCCGUUCUGGUCUUGCCGGGCAGUGCUGGCCUAUUGUUGCCCUCUCUCCCAAGUUAGUCCACUUGUAUGCUGAUUUUAUUAAGAACGCCCUUGAACUGUUUUGUUUUAUUUUUAUUUUUAAAAUAGGAAGUGGAUAUAAAUAAACAAAAUGCAUAACAUAAUUAGGGAAUUAUUCUUUUAUGGAUAAGCCCAAGAGACAUUCAUGGGAAAGAAAGGACUCUUUCUUUCUUUCUUUCUUUCUUUCUUUCUUUCUUUCUUUCUUCCUUCCUUCCUUCCUUCCUUCCUUCCUUUCUUCCUUUCUUCCUUUCUCUCUCUCUUUCUCUCUUUCUCUCUCUCUCUCUCUCUCUCUCUCUCUUUCUCUCUCUCUUUCUCUCUCUCUUUCUCUCUCUCUUUCUUUCUUUCUUCUAUCAUUUCUCUCUCUUUCUCUGUGUGUGUGUGUCUGAAUGUGUGUGUGUGUCUGUCUGUCUGUAUGUGCACAUAUGCAUGUGUUUCGUGCUUACACAGACCAGGAGAGUGUGCUGGGAUGUCCUGAGGUUGCAGUUACAGGCAGUUAUGAGCUGUCCAACAUAGGUGCUGUGAAACAAACUCCAGGGCCUCUGGAGGACCAGCAAGUGUUUGCAGCCACUGAGACGUUUUUCCAACCCCGUAAGUAAUUUAAAAGGGAGAACCCCCAAAGCUCCAUUAUUGUAAGCAAACUGCAUCAAGAAGCUCCUGGAAGGAAUGAUUGGCUCUUAAUAACACUCUCCGAUCAGCAGAACGGAUGCUUUGUCUUCUUGGAGAAAGAGAACUUUGAACAAUGCUUAAAACUCUCUGAGCAUUCCUCUUACUACCCAACGAGGCUCGGUGGAAUUCGAGUUUGUUUCUUCUUUGCCUUCCUAACUUUAAAAAGUUAAUUUUCUCUUACACUCAACACAUGUGUGCUCAUACCAUGUAUAUGUCUGACUAUUUUGUGCAACGAUGAGAACUUACACACCCAAAGCAUGGACAGUGUUGGCUUGGCUGCCUCUGCAUCCGGUCAGGCACAGGCGCUGUGCUCUCGUGCAAGUUACCCAGUCUCCUCCAUCUAAUCUUUCCAAUGUAACGCUUGGGUUAUGAGACAAGUACACAUUGCAUUGUUGUAGAGAUAAAACGGGGUCCUUGUCUGAGGCAUUCAGCACAGCCCCUGGCACAUUAAUUUCAGUAAAUAUUAACCGGUCUUAUUGACAGACGUUUGAUUCCGCAAACAGCUUUCACUUACCUUCCCAUAGCCCAAGCCUUUGUUGUUCUAAUGGGAUGAACUGACAGAAGCCAGAGUGAUUUUUCUAACCUUUUUAAUGGUUUAAAAGCACUCUUGGCAUUGGAGCUCAAAUAUCAACGAAUCUCGGCCUUGGGCCAGGAGCCAGAUAGUACUGCUGGCUUCUGAGAAAGAAGCCGGAGCAAGCAGAGUCCUAGCAUCCCAUCCCUGAAGGGCCCAGGCUCGCAUCCAUGCUAAACCUGACAAAUGUGUCAGCUAUGCUUCAUAGUCACAGACAGUCUGAGACCCAGCUGCCCUUGCUUGACAAAAUCAGCAGAUAGGCAGGAUCUGAGGUCUACCUUGGGUCAUAAUGGAAUCCAGGUGGGGCAGGGAAAUCUAGAUGGUACCGUGAAUUGAAUUUUGGCAACACGCAUUCAUCAUUAGAGGUCUAACAUAUAUGUCACGGUGAUAUGGGCAUCUGAAUGCUAGAAUACUCCUUGCCUCUGGGCUUUGGGGUCUGGAAAUAUUUUGGGGUCCACAUCAGGUGCGUGUGUCAGAAGAGCUUGGGUAAGAGUGACAGGGCUUGGGCUGCAGCUGGAGCUGCCAGAAGUCAGAUAACAUCCCAGGAAAACUGGGAUGGGCGUCGGUGGGAGAGCCUCAGUUUUCUGAUUCAUUUAUAAAACUUGUGGGCGAGGGAGACAGGGCCAACAAUGGAUCCAGGCUUUGGUAUGAAUUCAACAGAAUUAAUUUCAUGCUUUUCCUUAGAGAUCUGUACGGACACCGUUCGUGGCCGCUUACCUGAGUUGAACAUGUAGAAGGAGAGCAGGUUUGCAUACUGAAAAAUGAGGUCUAGAGAGAAAACUAAUCCACAUGUCUCUUCCUUGCUAGACGAAGAGCGUAAAGACAGAAGUAGUUGUUUUGAUGGCACCAGUGGUCAGUUUCGUGGGUGUGGCUACCAUUGAGAGACUGUGGGAAAGCAGCGAACAGUUGUAUCACAGUUGCCUGGGGCUUAGAGACAAUGGUUUCCUCUGUGAAAGAUGAAGGGUCUCCCUUUGAGAUGUGCCUUAGCUUGGCCUGUAAACAGGUCAACUGCUGAGUCAUACUGCCAGCUCCAGCCCGUGACUGUGCACUUUUGUGUGAAUCACUCUGCGCUCCUAAGCUUUGGUUUCCUCAAAUGGAAGAUGGGUGUGAAUAACAAGACCUACAUCUUGGGAAUGCUAGGACCCCGUGUAUGACCUGCACACACACUCAGUGGUGUGACCUUAAUGACCCUUGUACUCGAUUGCUGACUUAGUCACCUAAUCCUUUUAGCUCAAAACUUUAUUACGAGCGAAGAACAUGGUUGAGGCAGUGUCUAGAGUCACUGUUGAAGAAAUGGGCACCUUUUAAAUUAUGUCCGUCUAGUAGCAAAUAGUUAAGGCUCGCCUGGUCAAGGAACAGAAUUCCUAAGCUACCUCUAGGUGACAUGCAGGCUGCAUCUCGCAGCACUGUAGAGGGGAAGUUGGGCAGGAAUGGUCCCAGCACAGAAGCAGAGCACCGUACUGUAGGGUGUGUGACAUAUUUGGACUGUUAGGGUAUUGCACAAGGAGAAACCAACAAUGAUGUGUGUUAAUGCCCUUUCCUGGUGCUGCUCUCAUCUUCCCACUGUGGCUGUCCAUCCAUCCUGCUAGCAACUUAGGGAGCCUCCCAGCAUCUCUCCCCUGCUAUUCCUCCAUGGCUUCCUAGCUCCUCUCAUGUGUCCACUCAUGUCUGCUUUUUACCGUCCAUCCUUACCAGCUCACAGCCAUGUUCUUUCUGGGAACACACACUGGGCUGUAGCUCUUUUUCCUGCCUAAAGAAAGUCCUUCGGUGGUUUUCACACUGCUCUUGUGGUAAAAGGCUGGAGUGUUCAUUGUCACUUCCUAGGCUUCGCCAUCAUGACCCCACAGCUCUGACCUUACCAGCUCUCUCUGCUCUUGUCCCCUUCAGCCACUCUCCCGACUCCUUUCAAGUCCUCAGCCUGGGGGCCUUCCAGCAAGAUAAAGUAGACAGCGAACUGCCUGCCUCCCCUUCCCUGCCUUCAUGUUAAUUGAGGCCCUCCCUGACAUCUUUCAGUUGGUUAGUGUCACUUGUCAACAGUCAUCUCAGCACUCUGCCUGCCUUUAAUGGCCUCUCACUGUAUUAGACACCAGUCUGGUAAUCCAGCUUUGAACCCAUAAGACCAUAAAAUCAGGGCACCUUCUUUCUCAUGGGAUCCAGAAGGCCCAUCAUAAGAACCGGUACACAGUGAGCGACGGUUAAAUGGUUAUGGAAAGAGGGCUGUAGUGAAUGCUCAGUGUAUAGCAUGCACAAACAUUAGGUCCUGAGUUCAGAUCUCUACCACCCAGGUUAACAAGAAAGAAGGAAGGAAGGAAGGAAGGAAGGAAGGAAGGAAGGAAGGAAGCAAGCUAAUGUGGAGAGGUGUAAACUGGAACUCUGGAGCUGAGAGUGAGUGAGACAAGUGAGCUUUGAAUCUCAGAGCUCUCUGGUAACCCAGUCUAGCCAAACAGAAAGUUCUAGGUUCAGUAGAGAGGCCCUGUCUCAAAAAGUAAGGUGGGGGCAAUGCAAGCAAACACAGGAAUGCACACACAUUCUCUCCCUCUCCCUUUCCCCUCCCCACCCCAUUCUCUUCUCUCCCCCUUCCUUCCUCCAUCCUGCACCCCCACUUCCUCUCAAAAACUUCCUAGAGACAAAGAUUAUAAGAACAAGGGGUUGAGUCCAAGUCAGAACAAAGAUGUGUGACAAAAUUAUUCGCCUUGUUAAAAACAAGAACAAAUCCUCAAAGAAAUAAUGGAUGGAGAGGAGAGGAGGAAGAAGAUACAGGUUGUCCUGAGAAGCUGGAGAGAUGCAGAGUAAUGAGUUGGUUUUAUGAGGUGAGGACAGGAAAGAGACAGGAAAUACCUUGGGACCCACUGGAGGUGAAACAGAAAACACUUUGUAGAAGCUAGAAAGAAAGGAAAAAGCCACUAUGAACUGCAACCCAAGCAAAUAGUACCGUGUGAGUCUAGGAUCUUGGACCUGUAACAUUCUUGUACCCAAGGGGAGGGACUGUGUCUUAGUUAGGGUUUUACUGCUGUGAACAGGCACCAUGACGAAGGCAACUCUUAUAAAGACAUUUAAUUGUAGCUGGCUUAACAGAUUUAGAGGUUCAGUCUAUUAUCAUCAAGGCAGGAAACAUGGUAGUAUCCAGGCAGGCAUGGUGCAGGAGGAGCUGAGAGUUCUACUGAAGGCCGCUAGAAGACUGACUUCUAGGCAAUUAGGGUUAGGGUCUUAAAGCCCACAUCCACUGUGACACACCUAUUCCACCAAGGCCACACUUCCAAAUAGUGCCACUUCCUGGGCCAAGCAUAUUCAAACCAUAACAGAAUGCCUCAUCAUCUAGAGCCAGGCUGUAGUUAAAACACCCAGAGGCACACAUGUUCACUGCCAACCCCUCCGACAUUAGACUUCUCGCUGUGAGCGGCUGAACCUGAGAGUCCCCUAUGAAUAGUUGUCAGUCUGCAUAACCCAGUGAAUUUUAGGAUGUUGUUCUUUACACACACACACACAGCUGUAAAGUAGCCGUCUGCCAAAACCUCCAGCACUGAUGUACAUUCAAUUUGAAGACCUUCUUUUUCCAGCAAGUGCCAUAAUGGAUCUUGUCACACGCAAACGUAUCUUUAUGACACCAAUUUAUCUGCUUAGCAAACCCCCGUUUCCCACUAUCUAUAAAAUUGCAUGUAAAUGUUUUCAAGGGCAUCUAAUAUCAGAGCAGUACCAACUCUGAUGCUCGCAGUACGUGUUUACCUUCUGAAUUCUCUUCCUCGGGGCUCUAGUCUCUCACAUCUUCUCUGCAUCUCUCCCCUCCUAUGCUGAGAGACUCUCAGGACCAUCUUUGUUCACCUGUGAGGAGAGAACCUGGGGCCUGAAAUCAACAUCUUCCCUGUAGGGGCAGUGUUUCACUAGAAAGGACGGAGAGCAGGAUUGGGGGGGGGGGGGUAGGGGAAGGUUUGUCUUAGUAACGACAGCCUUUGUGUGUGGAUCCUGUGAUCCAUUAUCAUCCUGAUUUGGCCUGUUCUCCCUUGAUGCCUUCCUUCCCCUGACACCACCCUUUUGCCUCCCUUUUUUCCUCAAGUUCUCUUCUCAUCUCUUCUUUUGCCCCUCCUGCUGCCACUUAAACUUUUUAUCUUCCUACCAAGUUUGAUCAGAUUUUCUCUUUUGUCAUAAAAGAGUCUUGGGACGACUCCAGGCAAUAAGGAGCGAGACGGAAUUUUACAUCCGGAGUGGAGGCUUGUUAUCCUUCUAGACUCUCCUGUCUUGCUGCCACUGGGCUUCUGGGAACUUUUAUUAUUGACUCCACUUGUUCUUCAGUGACUUUGUGCCUGUGACAGCCUUUCUCCAAAAUACUUUCUCCCCCCUAGAUUUUUUUUUCUUUUCCUCCCAUGCCUCAGAAAACCCUUCCUCUUCUUUAUUUCAACAUAAUAAGCAUUAUUUUUACCUUCAGUUUGUGUAUCUUAAAACCUGUUUAUCCUCGUUCUGUAACCUGAAGUCUGCCAGAGGGAGCCUUUCUGGUCAGUGGAUUUAUACAUUGCUUCAGGAGACACUUGGACACCUCUUUACCCCAGUCUCCGCUCUUGAGAAGUGAAAUAACCAAACUGCCCGCCCCAUCACGCUGACACUAGUGUCACGUGACUUUGUCCAUGGGAAACUAAGAUGGCUGUCCGCCGCCGAAGCUCAGUAAUUAUUAUUAUUGUAGUUGAAAUGAUAUAUACAGUAGCCAGAAACACGUGGACAUAAAACAGCUCAUUUUUAAGCCUCGAUCUUUCUACUGGUAAUUCUAAUAACAAAUCUAAUUAUGUCUGCUUAUUAGUUCUUUUUACCUCGAUUGAUUGGUAUGUGAGUAUAGGGCAGGGUGGGGGUUAGUAUGAGGUGCCUUCUCCCAUCACUUUGGACUUGGUUUUUGAGACAGGGUCUCUCACUGAACCUGGAACUCAUGGAUUCAACAAGGCUAUCUAGCCGGUACAUCCCAGAGAUCUUCUGCCUCCAUCUCCACAGGACUGAGGUUACAAGUGCACUCCACUGUGCUAGAGUCUUAUAGGGGUGCCGAGGAUGGGGUCUAGAUCUACUUGGUUGUUCAGCAGACACUUCAGCAGCCUAUAUAUCUCGCCAGCCCCCAGGUUCUACCGGUUAGAAAGCUUAGGUGCUUAUUCCUGCCCAUGCGCAGGGAACCCAGCUUCCGGCCUCACGUCACUCGCUCACACUCCGCAUGAAGUCCAUCCUGCCUAUAAAACUCUUCCUUACAUCACUCCUCACGCACAAACACUGACAUCUGGCUUCUGAUUCCGCCACCCUUUAAAGUACAGUUCGGGAAGGUGAUUUUAAUUUUUAAGCACUAACCAUGGGCGCUGUUGUUACCAUGGAAACCAAAUCUCCUCUCCUGAGACAUGGCAGCGGUGAUCACCCCCUGACAGUCCGAAGACCUGAAUUUCAGACAAUCAGAGGCAGAGCAAUUUGGGGGCCCCGUUCAUUUAGAAUUUUCUCUUUUGUGAUUUCCGGGAAGCGUAGCGUGGCCCGUCCCAAUUUGAGGAAGCAAAGAAAAGCCUGUGAAUUGAGAGCCAGCUGCCAACUUUCCGCCCAAGACCUUCGAGAGCCCAGCCUGUGAGCCAUUCACGUCUCCAGAUUUACAAAGCAAGCAACUUUGACGCCUGCUGCUUUUGCUGUGUGGGCUGCACACUUCCUUUGUGCCUCUCCUGGUUGCCGCUUAUGUACAAAACCACCUCUCUCCUGGCAAAAAGCACUAAGCAUCUGUGUUUCCAACGAUGCCCCGCAGCGAUGGCGCCUCGGCUUUUCCGCAGACUUCCUCGAGAAAUGUCACGAAGGAGCCCCUCUUUCUCCUUUGAUUUCCCUUCCAGAAUAAAACUUUCAUGUACUGCACAAUGAGGUUAAAAUCCUA